AGCACCAUAGCGCAGCUGGAAGCGCGUCGGUCUCAUAUCAUUCCAUCCAUUGGAGAGAUCCGAAGGUCGCCUGAUCGAAACAAGCUGGUGCUA